CUUUAAUGAAACCAUCCAUGUAUUCUAUCCUUCAUUCCACCGGAGUCUGUGUAAAGUGCCAAUCAGAUUUCAGUGGUUUGAAGAGUAAGACACAUGGAAUUUG
rnacentral:pre_miRNA from 13 species